GAUGAACGCUGGCGGCGUGCCUAAUACAUGCAAGUCGAGCGAACGGACGAGAAGCUUGCUUCUCUGAUGUUAGCGGCGGACGGGUGAGUAACACGUGGAUAACCUACCUAUAAGACUGGGAUAACUUCGGGAAACCGGAGCUAAUACCGGAUGAUAUUUUGAACCGCAUGGUUCAAAAGUGAAAGACGGUCUUGCUGUCACUUAUAGAUGGAUCCGCGCUGCAUUAGCUAGUUGGUAAGGUAACGGCUUACCAAGGCAACGAUGCAUAGCCGACCUGAGAGGGUGAUCGGCCACACUGGAACUGAGACACGGUCCAGACUCCUACGGGAGGCAGCAGUAGGGAAUCUUCCGCAAAGGGCGAAAGCCUGACGGAGCAACGCCGCGUGAGUGAUGAAGGUCUUCGGAUCGUAAAACUCUGUUAUUAGGGAAGAACAUAUGUGUAAGUAACUGUGCACACCUUGACGGUACCUAAUCAGAAAGCCACGGCUAACUACGUG
rnacentral:rRNA from 1 species